rnacentral:misc_RNA from 1 species
AGUGUGACCCACAGAAUCGGUGGCAGCAGGAUUGCCACACAGACUCUCCGUCCGAGGACAAAGGAAUCUACCGGACGUCUUGACGGGAGUUUAUGCCACGGAUCAUAGCUUCAUUAAUUCGCCAAGGUUCACUGGUUCAUGUCGGGUUGUUACGUCACGAUUAAAUCGCCGUGUAAACUGCACAUCAAAAAAGCGGAUACAUUUCUUUUUUUCUGGAGAAUUAAGUGAUGGAAUAAUGCCAUGACCAUGAAAUUAAACCCUGAACAUGUUGGCGUCAAGAGAAAAUAUGUGGACGAUAUUGAGGGUCGUCCAGUGAAAAGAAUUUCACCUUUUCACAACACCCCUAAGGAACGAAAGGAAGAAAGGAGGAAAAUUUUAAAGAUGUCCAUUCAGAAACUGAGACAGAUGGAAGACCCUGAAUACUUCCUUACUCGGUCAGUGUUGAUAAACAACACCCUUAAAAAACUGCAACAAGAGAUACGCGAAGAAAAACAGUAUCAGGGGCUACAAAAACUGCAUCUACAAAUACAGGCCUAGUUAGGAUACGAUGUAUUAAAUAACAGUUAUCUAACAUCGGCGGAUUCCGUGUUCGAGGAUCCGUUUUCCCUUCCCGAUGAAUCGGAAAAAAUAAUCACGGACCAAUUGACUCAAAGGUUGGUGAAUGAAGGUCAGGAGGACCAAAAGAGUUCAGACUCCCCAAAGGCGGAUCCAGAAAUCUGUGCGACGGUUCUACCCGAAACUGAGUCGUUUUAUGUUAACGAGGGUGAAAGUGAUGUAGACUCUAUGUCUGUGAGUGCCCAAGUGCAGAGAUCGUGCAGCGAGAGACAGAUAUACAGUACUGAUAUAGAUGUGUUAAACAAUCUGAUUCAUGCCUUGGAAGAGACGUGACAAAUGGCAAACUGUGCAAAAUAUUUCGACAAUUUGUGUAUGUGUGUGUAAAAAGGCUCGCAAUCAUUAUUUAUGUUUCUUUCUGAGAGAGAGAGAGAGAGAGAGAGAGAGAGAGAGAGAGAGAGAGAGAGAGAGAGAGAGAGAGUUGUCAUUUAUGCUUAUUAAUGUAGUCAUAUUCACAGAAUGGUGUAUAUGUUAAGUUUUUUUAUAUGCAUUGUUUAUUGAUUAAAAGAAGUCAUGAUUC